rnacentral:rRNA from 1 species
CCUACGGGAGGCAGCAGUGAGGAAUAUUGGUCAAUGGCCGUAAGGCUGAACCAGCCAAGUCGCGUGAAGGAAGAAGGCUCUAUGGUUUGUAAACUUCUUUUAUAGGGGAAUAAAGGUAUCCACGUGUGGAUAUUUGCAUGUACCCUAUGAAUAAGCAUCGGCUAACUCCGUGCCAGCAGCCGCGGUAAUACGGAGGGUGCGAGCGUUAAUCGGAUUUAUUGGGCGUAAAGCGCCCGUAGGCGGUAUGUCAAGUCAAGGGUGAAAUCCCCGCGCUCAACGUGGGAACUGCCUUUGAAACUGGUAAUCUGGAGUGUGUGUGAGGAUAGUGGAAUGCCAGGUGUAGGGGUGAAAUCCGUAGAUAUCUUGAAGAACAGCAGUUGCGAAGGCGACUAUCUGGCACAUAACUGACGCUGAGGAGCGAAAGCGUGGGUAGCAAACAGGAUUAGAUACCCGGGUAGUC